UACGAAAGGGGCAAGCGUUGUUCGGAAUUACUGGGCGUAAAGCGCACGUAGGCGGCGAUGUAAGUUGGGGGUGAAAUCCCGGGGCUCAACCCCGGAACUGCCUCCAAAACUACAUGGCUCGAGGAUGUGAGAGGUUGGCGGAAUUCCGAGUGUAGAGGUGAAAUUCGUAGAUAUUCGGAAGAACACCGGUGGCGAAGGCGGCCAACUGGCACAUUUCUGACGCUGAGGCACGAAAGCGUGGGUAGCGAACAGG
rnacentral:rRNA from 1 species